rnacentral:lncRNA from 1 species
UUAUUUGACAAGAAAUCUUAAGAGUCCUCACUUUCUGGGAGCUCAGAGAAAGCUUUGGCAGAAAGGGCUUAACGGAACCACAGAAGGAUUCCAAGGAAGAGUUACAUUUCAGCCAAGAUUGAAGGAUGAGUAUAUUUCUCCAGGAAGUUACAGGGUAGAGAAUAAUAGAAGGCGAGAGAGGAAGAAAAGAGAAGGAUAAUUUUGCAGAGGGCAUAACAUGACCCAUGCCAGGUCGAAUGAAAAAGGCAAAGACAUUGGGGAUGGAAGAUGACCUGUUACUGAGAGUGAUCAUAAGCCAGUUGCUCAAAGACCGGUGUGGAAAGGGCUUAAGAAGGAAGAGGACCAGAGGGAAAUUACCAUCUGGAGACAAGAUGACACUGGGAACUUGGAGGAAAACGUUCAGGUACCGUAUGAGGAAGCAGAACACUGGUUGUAGGUUGUGUAUCAAUGGCUUUCUAUGAGUAAAUGACCUGAAAAUGUAUGUGACUAAGCACCAUAAUGUGGAUUUCUGAAAGCUGAAUGACUUAAAGAAAAAUCUGCUUAUUUCUAAGAAAACCAACAAGUGGUUUCUUUCAGUAAGUUAUUAAAUUUAUUUAAGGCAUGAAUGAUCUAUUAUGUAAGGAAAGUGUUUGAAUACAGGUAUUCUGUCCUUAAGUUUGGACAUUCCUGGAAACCAAACAGCCUAUAAUGCAAAGCUCUGCUGUGUGCAGAUCUGUCCUUCUUUCACUAGUCUCUUCUAUAUUUAUAAUGUUUCUAGUCAUAGUUUAUGUGAAUAAUAAAGGCUGUGGAGUCCCUUGGAAUUCUUAUUUAAUAUGCUGCCAUUUCCUUAAUUAUUAAAAGCUUUUACACCUUCAUAAGAGAUGCUUAGUUGCUAGAGCCUCUCCAUACACUAAUUCCCAGAAGAUGCUUAAGAAAUGAGUCCCAGGAAGGUGUCCAUUGCAGGAAUUCUGGAUAGGACUCUGAGCUUAUGGACAGAUUUUGAUGCAAACUGACUUGAGACAGCG